GCCUCGGUAGCUCAGCCUGGCUUAGAGCGAACGCCUCGUAAGCGUUAGGCCGUGGGUUCAGAUCCCACUCGAGGCU
rnacentral:tRNA from 1 species